UUGAAACAUCGAGUAUCCGGUUGAAGAUGGGUAGUGGCUGCAGGGGGUCCAAUUUAACGAUGUACAAACGAUCGAGGCGUUAAUUACUUUCUAAUCGUUGCUUGCCAGUAUAAAAAAAAAAAAAAGAAAAAAAGAAAGAAAGUCAACCUCGAGAGAUACACAGACCACCUGGAUUUCUUCCUGGGAGGUCGCAAAAACUGGAUGUAUUAAACAACCAUCAAAAAAAUAAAAGGAG